rnacentral:rRNA from 1 species
UACGGAGGGGGCUAGCGUUGUUCGGAAUUACUGGGCGUAAAGCGCACGUAGGCGGCUUUCUAAGUCAGGGGUGAAAUCCUGGAGCUCAACUCCAGAACUGCCUUUGAUACUGGGAAGCUCGAGUCCGGGAGAGGUGAGUGGAACUCCGAGUGUAGAGGUGAAAUUCGUAGAUAUUCGGAAGAACACCAGUGGCGAAGGCGGCUCACUGGCCCGGUACUGACGCUGAGGUGCGAAAGCGUGGGGAGCAAACAGG